rnacentral:rRNA from 1 species
UACGGAGGGUGCAAGCGUUAAUCGGAAUUACUGGGCGUAAAGCGCACGCAGGCGGUUGGAUAAGUUAGAUGUGAAAGCCCCGGGCUCAACCUGGGAAUUGCAUUUAAAACUGUCCGGCUAGAGUCUUGUAGAGGGGGGUAGAAUUCCAGGUGUAGCGGUGAAAUGCGUAGAGAUCUGGAGGAAUACCGGUGGCGAAGGCGGCCCCCUGGACAAAGACUGACGAUCAGGUGCGAAAGAGUGGGGAGCAAACAGG